rnacentral:rRNA from 1 species
ACGCUCGACACCUACGGAGGCAGCAGUGGGGAAUAUUGCACAAUGGGGGAAACCCUGAUGCAGCGACGCCGCGUGAGCGAAGAAGUAUCUCGGUAUGUAAAGCUCUAUCAGCAGGGAAGAAGAUGACGGUACCUGACUAAGAAGCACCGGCUAAAUACGUGCCAGCAGCCACGGUAAUCUGAGCGGGCUGGCAAGGC